ACUUGUAAAUAAUUGAAACAUGAUUUAAUAUCUAGAUAUUUUCUCUACUUAAACUUGGUGCCCAAGUUAAUCCAUCAUCUUCUUCAUUUUGUGGGUGCCGAAUACUCCAUAGCUCCCAACACAAAACCUUAUACUUUUAUUUUCUCUCAAAACUUUCUUCACGAAAAUUGUCGGGAAUAUUGCGUAGAUCGUGUAUGUGUGUUUGCAUGUUCGUUUGAGGAAAGCUGGUCCGAUUUUGAUGAAGGCUUCCGAACGUUUAUUUCUCGGAAGUCUACUUUGAUAAAAGACUGUAAAGAAGGUUUUAAGUUCUAGUUGUCCGCAGUAGACUAGUAUAGUCUUAUUGUAUUUAAAUGUUUUAAAGCACAUUUAAAACUCUGAUGUUUUAUCUCAUCAGUUAUUUAAUAAAUG